UGUGUGUGUAUGAAUUUCAGACAUGUCUUUAACUAUUUUCCUCCCUUAAACCCACCCCAUACAUCUAACUGCAUCUUCAUUAUUUAACACUUUCUCUUUGUGACUGGAAAUUCAGUCUCCUGCAAGGAACCAACUAUGCAAUAACAUGUUUCUAUCUGGGCUCCAUGUGUGUCUACGUUCCUCUGUCUCUUGUCUCUACAUGCUUUGAUUAUUUGCUUCUCACUCUCUUUCUCAUGCGUAGCCUGAUUUACUUUGCUGCCUUCUUCACUGUGCCUUUUUUUCCCAGGAUGCAGUGCUGCCAAACCUUUCAUGGCUCCAAUGUUUAUUGGACAGAAAUUUUCUCCCCAUCUCCCUAUCUUCCAUAUCAUAUGUAAAAGAUUUGAUAAGCUAUGUUGUAAAUACACAAUAAAUAUGGGAUGAAUAAAACAAAGAAUGCAAGUUUGUGUUGUU
rnacentral:lncRNA from 1 species